AAUCUGCAUCAGAAAUGUUUUUGAGUCCUCUCACAAUGAAACUCUUUGAGCAGAUGUUUGCUGAUACGCUGCCUGUGAAUUCUAUGGAAAAAUAGUGCGCGUGCGCAAGCGCGUGGAGGGGAGGAACGCAGGAACAAGCAGGACUAACCGGUACAGACCGUGAUGCCGUACGGAACUGAUCCGAAGCGAGCCUGCUCUUCUCCCCUGUCAGCGUUCUCCUCCUCCAAGUAGAACACUUUGCUCUGAACUUUACAACUUCACGAUUUCCUGGUCAUCAUCAGGUACCUAAGUGUCAGCUGCUUAAGAAAAUGAAAACAAAAAACCAAACGUCAAACUUACCAUGGAAUAAAAACCACAGGUCCUCGCUUGGUUUACACACUGGUAUCCCCUUUCAGCACUUCCUGCAUCAUUGUUUAGAGACCAAAGAUUUCAGAAGGCAGUUGAGGGGACUGUUCUUCACUCCUCUACCUGGAUAUGUUUAAGGAAAUCCCUAUAUGCCUCAAGACACCACCUCUGAAAUGAGCCUCGACUUUGCUGAUCCACCCUUACAUCAUGUGGACCUCCCUGCGCUGGUGUUGAAUUACUGGCAGGAGCCUGCAGAAAAUGUGUAAGGGUGUGGAGAACAUGGAGUUUAGCUAAGUCAGAAAGGAACGUCAAUGGAUUCAUUAACCAUCAUCCCCAAAGUUGUCCCUUCGAGAACUUUACAGAAAAAAGAGACCAAGAAUCAUCAGAAGGUAUUCUGGAAGUGGCAUUUCUGAAAGGCUUUCUGCAUGCUUUCUUCUCCCGCGUGUGGGUACUUUUUGACAUAAAGGUUUUAUUGUAGGCUCAAAACUUCAGUUGGA